GUCAGGUUGGUUCGGGGGUUUCGAAACACCUUGUCGUGUAACCAGUUCUCUGCCUAUUUCCGAACGGAUAUCUUGGGAAAUUGAAAGCAGCUGGAGCUGUGCAGAGACACAGGCCUGGUAUUUAAACGUAGAGGAUUCUAUUUUUAGUCGCGACCCACAGAAGCGCGCCUGACAUGUAUGUGUGCGCAAAAUUAAGCACUGAUAUUUCAGGUGACAUUUGGAGAAAUGUUGCAGUGAAAGAAGCAGACCCGCAAGCUUGAGUUGCAGAAACACUGACAGAUGAUCGGAGGCUCAAUUUGUUUUGAACAGCUGCCCUUCAUCUGCAUUUGAAGCAUUAUAUCGUCGGCAUCUGAAGUGGCCAAUAAUGGAGAUCCCUCUACCUUAGGGAGGAGUCGUUCACCAACAGUAGCUAGAUACAAGAUGUGGGAGGCAACUUGCCAAUUCCCUUCACUGAUUGAAGC